GGGUCGGUUUGAUAUAUUUAUCUGUCAAAAAAAAAAUUAUAUAUCUCGGACAUAUAAUCUUGAAAAUUUAUGCGCAAUCUUGGCGCAAUCUGAAAAUGUAUGGAAAUGACGUUUAUAGCUCAGGGUUGGCUUCGCGAAAUGACUUAUGUUGUGAUAGAAUGAAUAUAUGCGCAAUCUGAGAUUGCGCAUCGUGUAUUAAUACGGUUAUGUCAAAUUAAAGUGGGUAGAACGGAGGUGUCGUCAUACAAAACAUUUGGCCAUCAAGGCUUUAGAAAAAAGCACAAAACCAGGAUCGACGGCAGUUGUCAAAAGCGACGAAUGUUGCUGAUUUACGGGUAUGAUAAAUGAAUUGUUUUCGUUUAAAAAAUAUUUGUAUAGCACAACAAACUUGUAUUUUACAUCCACAAUUUAUAAAUCGGCAUUUUCAACGUGAUAUUGCGGCUGCUGCAUGUAAACAAAUAUCGACGGCUGUUGUCAAACUGAAUCUCAAAAUGGCAACAUGCCAAACGCUAAGAAGACAUCUAAUCUAUAUUCCACCUUGGUCAAAAUCAAGGACAAUGUAGGAACGAUUAGGGAAGGAAUGUACACACUUAAAAAUAUUUCACGAGCUCGGUUAAAAAAACUGCCGAAAUCGGUCGGCUCUUUCGAUUCUUGCUGAUAUGUCAGUUGAAAAAACCUAGUAGCCGAAAAUCAGUACCAUUUAAAACUGAAAUAUCAGUUAAAUAAAAAUUUGAACCGAAACUCGGCAACACAACAUGCCGAACACAUACGUUAACACUGCUGUCACCGAGCUAAUCCGUCAAAAUAACCGAGAUUUCAGCUUUACUACUUGGAUUAGCCGAGGCUCGGUAUUCUAUCUGUCAUUCACCAUUCUGUUAAUCUCGUGCUAAUGAAACGAAAACCUGUCGGAGUGAUGUUGUGAUGUAAAAUAAAAAAUGUAAAAAAAGUGAAAAUGAGUCUCUCAGCGUGAAAAAAACGAGAAUCAGUAGCGUGCGAUCGAGCACAGGUAUGGAGCGGGGUUGGGGCUAGGAAACUCCAUCAGCGCACGCAACCAGUACUCUUCAGAGCGUCGCUCGGAGCAGUCCCUAUUUAAGAAUCAGAUGUGGAAGCUAAUCCGGUUGGUUCAACCGUUCAGACUUCCAGGAUUCAUUUCCGGUCACCUACACGAGAACCGUGCCUGUCCCAGUGCCCGCUCCUUGUCCGGCUCAUUUUCCUGUACCGGUACCACAUCCAAACGCUGUGCCCCAUCCGGCGGUUGAAUCGGCGCCUGUCCCAACGCUUUCCAUCACAUCAAAAAAACCCAUUUGAUACGCAAAUAAAAUCACUAAAAUAAAAAUAAAA